ensembl:rRNA 5S_rRNA 5S ribosomal RNA
GUAUACAGCCAUAUCACCAUGCAGCCCAAGACCAGUUACUCAAUAAGCUGAGCAGGGCUGAGUCUGUUCAGUACCUGAAAGGGAGACCGCAUGGGAAAACUAGGUUGCUGUUGGAA